rnacentral:rRNA from 1 species
UACGUAGGGGGCAAGCGUUGUCCGGAUUUAUUGGGCGUAAAGAGCGUGUAGGCGGCCAGGUAGGUCUGCUGUGAAAACUCGAGGCUCAACCUCGAGACGUCGGCGGAAACCAUCUGGCUAGAGUCCGGAAGAGGAGAGUGGAAUUCCUGGUGUAGCGGUGAAAUGCGUAGAUAUCAGGAGGAACACCGGUGGUGUAAACGGCUUUCUGGACCAUAACUGACGCUGAGGCACGAAAGCGUGGGUAGCAAACAGG